AUACUUACCUUAAGACGUCAGUGGAGAUCAAGAAGUCCUACUGACCGGAUAUGUCUUUCUGGAGGGAUGCCUGUCUUUAACAGGAGACGGGUUCCCUUGCUCAGUUUCGUACUGCACAUACUAGCGAAAGAUGUGUUUGCUGACGUUCUCGUUCCCUCGUUUUACUUGCAAUUGAUGUCUUCGGAUGUCAUUGCUCGCUAAAGCCCUUUGUUUCUUCUGCCUGGAGAAGUAUGGCACUGAUUACAAGUCAGUGCUGGGGGAGUCGGGUUUGGAUUCUCGUUACGUGCUUUUCUUCAAGUUAAAGACUGUCGAUUCCUUUGCUUUUGCUUUUUGAAUCUUUUGGUGGGCUUCGGCCUAUUGAGGGCGGAAAAUUGUAGGAGCGUUGAGAAGGUGACUGUCAAGAAGUAUUUGCAUAGAGAUGUUCAAACUUGGUAGAGACGGGUGGGUCUUAUAAUUUUUGAUGUAUCACCCUU
rnacentral:snRNA from 1 species